rnacentral:lncRNA from 1 species
ACUCUGACUCAGAAGGCAGACUGAUUCGCAAUUCAUUCAUUGCUCAAAGACUUUUAAAUUUAAUUUGGCUGAAGUUUUUAUUUUAUCAAGGGUUACCCCACAGCAAGAGCCCCUACAGAAGCCCGCACGUCAUGCUUGCCAUCCGCCUUCCUUCUCUCUCAACAAAGAAGGAGACCAGGAUUUGGAAUAGUGGAACCCAAUUUUUUAAAAGUCGACAACUCCUGGAAGCCACUGUAGCGACUCGGAAUCAACAUUCUCAGGACCCCAUCCGGGACGCCGCUGUGCAUGCAGCUGUCACAUCUCCCUGGACCCCCCUCUGCUGGCAGUUUCUCAGAUUUUCCUUGUUUUCGAUGACUGGGAUAGUUUUGAAGAGUAAUGGUCAGGCAUGCUGUAGAAUUUCUCUCAGUUGGGGUUUUUCUGAUGAUCUGAUUGGGAUUAUGGAAUUUGGGGAAGAAGACCAUAGAAGUAAAGUGCUAUUUUUAUUAC